rnacentral:rRNA from 1 species
GACGUAGGGCGCGAGCGUUGUCCGGAUUUAUUGGGCGUAAAGAGCUCGUAGGCGGCUCAUUGCGUCAACCGUGAAAACCAGCAGCUCAACUGUUGGCUUGCGGUUGAUACGGGUGGGCUGGAGUUCGGUAGGGGAGACUGGAAUUCCUGGUGUAGCGGUGAAAUGCGCAGAUAUCAGGAGGAACACCGGUGGCGAAGGCGGGUCUCUGGGCCGAUACUGACGCUGAAGCGCGAAAGCUAGGGGAGCGAACGGG